GUGGCAGCAGCCGCGGUAACACCGGCAGCUCGAGUGAUGGCCGAUUUUAUUGGGCCUAAAGCGUCCGUAGCCUGCCGUACGGGUCCGUCGGGAAAUCCGCCCGCUUAACGGGCGGACGUCCGGCGGAAACUGCACAGCUUGGGACCGGAAGGCUCGAAGGGUACGUUCGGGGUAGGAGUGAAAUCCCAUAAUCCCGCACGGACCACCGAUGGCGAAAGCACUUCGAGAAAACGGAUCCGACAGUGAGGGACGAAAGCCAGGGUCUCCAACCGGAUUAGAAACCCUAGUAGUCC
rnacentral:rRNA from 1 species